rnacentral:rRNA from 1 species
GACGAACGCUGGCGGCGUGCCUAAUACAUGCAAGUAGAACGCAGUUUCGAACGGGUGAGUAACGCGUAGGUAACUGCCUCAUUGCGGGGGAUAACUAUUGGAAACGAUAGCUAAUAACCCAUCCUGUGAGAUGGACCUGCGUUGGAUUAGCUAGUGGGUGAGGUAAAGGCUCACCAAGACGACGAUACAUAGCCGACCUGAUAGGGUGUACGGCCACACUGGGAAUUGGACAAGGGCCAGACGCCUACGGGAGGCAGCAGGAGGGGAUCUUCGGAAAUGGACGGAAGUAUGAACGAGCAAAGCCGCGUGAGUGAAGAAGGUUUUCAGAUCGUAAAGCUAGGUUGUAAGAGAAGCGGUAACUACCCAGAAAGGAACGGCUAACGACGUGCCAGAAGCCGCGGUAAUAC